GAAGGCAGGGCGGAGGCGGAUCAGCCAUGCCGCGGGGCAGGAUGACGGCCCUAUGGGUUGUAAACUGCUUUUAUAGGGGAAGAAACCCCCCCUACGUGUAGGGGGUUGACGGUACCCUAAGAAUAAGGAUCGGCUAACUCCGUGCCAGCAGCCGCGGUAAUACGA
rnacentral:rRNA from 1 species